rnacentral:rRNA from 1 species
ACGAAGGGGGCUAGCGUUGUUCGGAAUCACUGGGCGUAAAGGGCGCGUAGGCGGCCGAUCAAGUCGGGGGUGAAAGCCUGUGGCUCAACCACAGAAUUGCCUUCGAUACUGUUUGGCUUGAGACCGGAAGAGGUAAGUGGAACUGCGAGUGUAGAGGUGAAAUUCGUAGAUAUCAGGAGGAACACCGGAGGCGAAGGCGGCCAUCUGGCGAGACAUUGACGCUAAGGUGCGAAAGCGUGGGUAGCAAACAGGA